GGACCCGCACAAGCGGUGGAGCAUGUGGUUUAAUUCGACGCAACGCGAAGAACCUUACCUGGGUUAAAUCCCAGUUGUAAGACUCAGAGAUGAGUCCCUCCCGCAAGGGACGGCUGGGAAGGUGCUGCAUGGCUGUCGUCAGCUCGUGUCGUGAGAUGUUGGGUUAAGUCCCGCAACGAGCGCAACCCUUACCACUAGUUGCCAGCAUUUAGUUGGGCACUCUAGCGGAACUGCCGGUGAUAAACCGGAGGAAGGUGGGGAUGACGUCAAGUCAUCAUGGCCUCUAUGUCCAGGGCUACACACGUGCUACAAUGGCCGGUACAAACCGCUGCGAACUCGCGAGAGGGAGCCAAUCGGAAAAAGCCGGUCUCAGUUCGGAUUGGAGUCUGCAACUCGACUCCAUGAAGUUGGAAUCGCUAGUAAUCGCAGAUCAGCACGCUGCGGUGAAUACGUUCCCGGGUCUU
rnacentral:rRNA from 1 species